CUACAAUCCUCAGUCCCCCCAGACCGACAAUCCCCAGUCUUCCCAGCCUACAAUCCCCAGUCUUCCCUCACAGCUGAGGGUGGAAGCAGUCUAUGUGCCCCAGUGAUCAGCAAUAAGGAAGUAGGAGGUAACAUCAACAUCACUCAGAACAACACUCAGAACAACGAUGACUCCUCCCAGGUUGCACAAUGCAGUGCCACGCUAAAAGGUGAGUUGCGUGGUGGUCUGUCUCCAGUAUCCAGAGAGACCCAGAGCGCAUCAAGGAACACACACUACCACCACAAUAUCAAGAUAAAGACAAAACAAAGAAGACAAAAUACAUAAUGAAUGAUAAAUACAUCUGCUUAAUGCAUUAUUAUGAUGCAUGACAUAGGAGCUAACAGGUUAUUUUGCAUUGCGUAUUAUGCAGAUGAAUGCACAUAUAAUGCAUUAUGAAGAGGGUAUUCAUAGGAGGUGUUACCAUAGGAGGUGUUACCAUAAGAGGUGUUACCAUAGGAGGUGUUACCAUAGGAGUUGUUAACAUAGGAGGUGUU